UACGGAGGGUGCGAGCGUUGUCCGGAAUCACUGGGCGUAAAGGGCGCGUAGGUGGCGCGGGAAGUCAACGGUGAAAGUUCGGGGCUCAACCCUGAACCGGCCGUCGAUACUCCCGGGCUCGAGCACUGUAGAGGCAGAUGGAAUUCCGGGUGUAGCGGUGGAAUGCGUAGAGAUCCGGAAGAACACCGGUGGCGAAGGCGGUCUGCUGGGCAGUUGCUGACACUGAGGCGCGACAGCGUGGGGAGCAAACAGG
rnacentral:rRNA from 1 species